AGAAUUCUGGGACUCCAGUCCUUAAUCUGUCUGAGACUCUGUUUCCAUGUCAAGAAACAGGAAGAAGAAAUAUGUCACCUAGACUAAGGGUCAGGGGACUGCCUGCUUGUAUCGGAUCACUUCUCAGACCCCCCUCACCUACCCACCCGCUCUUCUCGCUCCAGCUGACGUGCUUCGGUUGUGAGCCGUCUCAGAUCUUUUCUGCGACCAGAACGCCAUACAAGCAAACAAAGUGUUUCACAUAAUCUGUUGCAGAAGCUGAUUAUCCAAGUACAUAAACAGUCUAUUAUAAAUUGGC